AGAACAGACAUGGAACAGGCUGUUUUGCAACACUAG
rnacentral:sRNA from 1 species